AAGUAUGUCCAGGCCUUGUGACCCUGGAUGGGCGCUUAUAAGCGCUGAUAAGCACUGAUAAGCGCUGAUAAGCGCUGAUAAGCUUAUAAGCGCUGAUAAGCGCUCAUCCAGGGUCACAAGGCCUGGACAUACUUCGAUCAC
rnacentral:miRNA from 1 species